CUACGGAAGGCAGCAGUGAGGAAUUUUUCGCAAUGGGGGAAACCCUGACGAAGCAACGCCGCGUGGAGGAUGAAGGCCUUCGGGUUGUAAACUCCUGUCGACCGGGACGAAAGUUAUCUGACCUAACACGUCAGGUAAUCGACUGUACCGGUGGAGGAAGCCACGGCUAACUCUGUGCCAGCAGCCGCGGUAAUACAGAGGUGGCAAGCGUUGUUCGGAAUUACUGGGCGUAAAGGGCGCGUAGGCGGUCUUGUAAGUCUCGUGUGAAAUCCCUCGGCUUAACUGAGGAACUGCACGAGAUACUGCGAGACUUGAGAUCGGGAGAGGGAAGCGGAAUUCCGGGUGUAGCGGUGAAAUGCGUAGAUAUCCGGAGGAACACCGGUGGCGAAGGCGGCUUCCUGGACCGACACUGACGCUGAGGCGCGAAAGCUAGGGGAGCAAACGGGAUUAGAUACCCCGGUAGC
rnacentral:rRNA from 1 species